AGGGGGCUAGCGUUGUUCGGAUUUACUGGGCGUAAAGCGCACGUAGGCGGAUUGUUAAGUCAGGGGUGAAAUCCUGGAGCUCAACUCCAGAACUGCCUUUGAUACUGGCAAUCUAGAGUCCGGAAGAGGUGAGUGGAACUCCUAGUGUAGAGGUGGAAUUCGUAGAUAUUAGGAAGAACACCAGUGGCGAAGGCGGCUCACUGGUCCGGUACUGACGCUGAGGUGCGAAAGCGUGGGGAGCAAACAGG
rnacentral:rRNA from 1 species